rfam:Xenorhabdus poinarii str. G6 chromosome, complete genome.
AAUCGUUGGUGGCACAACUUCCCCUUCAGGGCGGUUGGUUCACGCGCACGCACAUAAGUACAAAUACGCAAGUGCCAAAACCCGCCCACAACAGGCGGGUUUUUUUAU